GGGGGCAUAGCUCAGUUGGGAGAGCAGCAGACUGAAGUUCACCUCUUGGUAACCAGUUCUUCUGAAGGUCCCGCGUUCAAUCCGCGGUGCCCCCA